AUGAGGGCAGAACUAGUGACCUGAGAGAGAACAAACAGAAGGCCAGAGGGAAGCAGAAACCAGGUUAGUGUGGGUGGCAGAGAACGUUGGAGGUAAGAAAAUGAAGACACAGCAUACAGACAAUUGAAGGAAGGAGAGGAUAAAGAUCAAAUGGAGAGAAGGGAUAACCUACAAGCAGGCUGUCAAGUCCUGAGCAACCCCAGAGAGAGCCCCAGUUCAGUGGUGAAGAACUGAAGCCUCCUGCCAUGUGACAGACCUUGGACACAGAAUCUCCAGCCUAAUCAAGUCUUCACAGACUUCAAUCAAGUUUUCCCUGGCUGACCACUUGACAGCAACCUCAUGAAAGUCCUUGAACCAGAACCCCAGAACCACUCAGCUAAGUUGCUCCUAAAUUCCUGACCCUUACAAAUUGUAUAAAAUCAUACUGCAUGUUUGUUAUUUUAAGCUGUUAAAAUUUGGGGUAAAUUUGUUACAUAACGAUGGAUAACUACUACAAUCAUAAAUACAUACCAAUAAGACAGGCUAGAUGAAAGUCAUUCUGCAAAUAACUCAAAAGUCAUACUCUAAUAAACGUGACUGACAGAACCUUCAUAUUAGUCAAAGAUAAGGUUAUAAAAGAUUCUGUUUUACCGCUGGGUGAGACAUGGAUACUGGGAAGCAGGAUUGGUCUUCAAUAGAAGUAGAAAAGGUAACUUCCUCUAUGGUUCCUAGGACGAGAGGCACAGAAAGUCCCACCUAAUUAAAACUUUCCUCUAC
rnacentral:lncRNA from 10 species